rfam:Oryza glumipatula chromosome 4, whole genome shotgun sequence.
AUCCCAUGAUAAGGACAGGCGGCCACGUACUCCUGUAGUCGUUCCCAUGCUUCAGGAAUGGACUCAUCCCUUGUCUGCUGGAAUCUGGAAAUUCGUCCACGAAGGGC